UUUACAAAACAUUUUCUAAUAAAAUUCUUAAUAAUCUCUUGUCAACAGCUUGACCAAAUCGCCAAUAUAUGCCUGAGCCAUUUGCAAAGUUUCAUACUUUGAUAGGCGACGAUCAUUGCCCAGAGAAGGAACAACAUCACGAAGUUUAUCAAAGGCGUCAUUUAAACUAUUCAUACGUCUGCGUUCUCGUGCAUUAGCGGCUAAACGACGUUUGCGUAAAACUUCUUGAGAGCAGGAUGUAUCUGUUGGAGAUGAGUUGAUGGUGGUGAUCGCAGAGGAUUUUAAACCUGGCUGAAGGCGUUUCAAGCUGAAUUUCGUUGAACUUAAUUGUGCCGCAGUGGAUGGAAGCGAGUGAUUGUAGUGGGGUUUACUGCUACUGAUAGCCGUUGACGUCGUCGUCGCCAUUGUGGGAUAACAAUAUUUGGGAGUGUGCUGAUGGAAAUUCAAUACAUUCAGUCAAUAAAGCCGAAGACGACUCAUUUAUGGCGACAUUAUUUACUAUCUAAAUAGUACACAAAUCAAACUAUAUACGGCCGAAGAAGUAUAUAAGACCCGUAUAAUACCACCAUCAAUCAUUGGACAUUAAAAAGACAAUGUCCGCCUCGAUUACAAACAUAGAAAGUAAAAAUAAUGUUGAAAUCAUCAUACUUACCAACACGUAUGAAAACCAAAGCACUGAACAUGGACAAGGCGACAGGACUGAAUACUCCUGCAAAGGUACCCAAUGUGCGGCCGCUACUUUCAGGAUCUUGCAUACCGAAUUCUACAUAGCCAUCAACACCAUUUUGUGAGCUUGAUCGUCUAGGUGCACCGUUAUUCGUGCCGAAGAGAGUGCCAAAAGAACGCAUCAUAGAGGAGGGUCCGCCCGAGCGUUGAGCAGCUAUGGGAGCCGUUUCGGGGUCACCGUUAAUAC